AGCGGCGGACGGGUGAGUAACACGUGGGUAACCUGCCCAAGAGACUGGGAUAACACCUGGAAACAGAUGCUAAUACCGGAUAACAACACUAGACGCAUGUCUAGAGUUUGAAAGAUGGCUCUGCUAUCACUCUUGGAUGGACCUGCGGUGCAUUAGCUAGUUGGUAAGGUAACGGCUUACCAAGGCAAUGAUGCAUAGCCGAGUUGAGAGACUGAUCGGCCACAUUGGGACUGAGACACGGCCCAAACUCCUACGGGAGGCAGCAGUAGGGAAUCUUCCACAAUGGACGAAAGUCUGAUGGAGCAACGCCGCGUGAGUGAAGAAGGGUUUCGGCUCGUAAAGCUCUGUUGGUAGUGAAGAAAGAUAGAGGUAGUAACUGGCCUUUACUUGACGGUAAUUACUUAGAAAGUCACGGCUAACUACGUGCCAGCAGCCGCGGUAAUACGUAGGUGGCAAGCGUUGUCCGGAUUUAUUGGGCGUAAAGCGAGUGCGGGCGGUUCAAUAAGUCUGAUGUGAAAGCCUUCGGCUCAACCGGAGAAUUGCAUCAGAAACUGUUGAACUUGAGUGCAGAAGAGGAGAGUGGAACUCCAUGUGUAGCGGUGGAAUGCGUAGAUAUAUGGAAGAACACCAGUGGCGAAGGCAGCUCUCUGGUCUGCAUCUGACGCUGAGGCUCGAAAGCAUGGGUAGCGAACAGGAUUAGAUACCCUGGUAGUCCAUGCCGUAAACGAUGAGUGCUAAGUGU
rnacentral:rRNA from 1 species